rnacentral:rRNA from 1 species
UACGUAGGGCGCAAGCGUUAUCCGGAAUUAUUGGGCGUAAAGAGCUCGUAGGCGGUUUGUCGCGUCUGCCGUGAAAGUCCGGGGCUCAACUCCGGAUCUGCGGUGGGUACGGGCAGACUAGAGUGAUGUAGGGGAGACUGGAAUUCCUGGUGUAGCGGUGAAAUGCGCAGAUAUCAGGAGGAACACCGAUGGCGAAGGCAGGUCUCUGGGCAUUAACUGACGCUGAGGAGCGAAAGCAUGGGGGAGCGAACAGGG